GACGAACGCUGGCGGCGUGCUUAACACAUGCAAGUCGAACGAAGAGCGACGGAAGCUUGCUUCUAUCAAUCUUAGUGGCGAACGGGUGAGUAACGCGUAAUCAACCUGCCCUUCAGAGGGGGACAACAGUUGGAAACGACUGCUAAUACCGCAUACGAUCUAAUCUCGGCAUCGAGGAUGGAUGAAAGGUGGCCUCUACAUGUAAGCUAUCACUGAAGGAGGGGAUUGCGUCUGAUUAGCUAGUUGGAGGGGUAACGGCCCACCAAGGCGAUGAUCAGUAGCCGGUCUGAGAGGAUGAACGGCCACAUUGGGACUGAGACACGGCCCAGACUCCUACGGGAGGCAGCAGUGGGGAAUCUUCCGCAAUGGACGAAAGUCUGACGGAGCAACGCCGCGUGAGUGAUGACGGCCUUCGGGUUGUAAAGCUCUGUUAAUCGGGACGAAAGGCCUUCUUGCAAAUAGUGAGAAGGAUUGACGGUACCGGAAUAGAAAGCC
rnacentral:rRNA from 1 species